AUGGGAAUGGGAUGGGAAGGCAAAGAGGCGGGGGGGGUGGGUGCUGUUGUUGCCACGGGAAUGGAAUGGGAGGAUUUGUUGUGCUGUGGCUUCCAUGGGAGCAGGAUGCCCUACAUCCCAAGGCUGGGGCCCAGCAGCUGCCCAGCCCACCACAGAGCUUCUCAUCCCCCUUUGUUUCAGCACCCUCAUCUACCUGAGCUCGCUGGUCUCCUUCCUGUAAGUCGCCCCGUAGCCAUGGGCCAAGCCCCAUUCCGGGGACGUGGGGCAGCAGAGCUGCUCUUUCACACCAGUGUCCCCAGCUCCACCACUGUCCUCUUCCUCCUGGUUCUUGCUAGCUUGGUUCUGCUCAGCUUAGUCAACCGUGGGGCUCCUCUAGCUAGUUGGGGUGACAGGGUAUCAGGGGAUGCUCCGUGGUGGAGUGGUCCCAGGGGCCCGAGGGGACAGGCUGAAGUCCCCCCACAUGUCUCCUGCAGCAGUGGCCUGGGAGGACAGGCUGAAGCAGGGGCUCUGCAGCACAGUGAGUCGGUGCUGCUGGCACAGGUGUCACCAUCACAGCUGGCCACACGUCCUCUGCUGCCCCCACUGCGGCUCCUCCGUGGAGGUGGGGGACGUGGGGCACCCUGGGAGGCGGGGGGGCUCUGCAUGUCUCUGAGAUGUUACCCACCCCACCACAUCCCGCCCCUCAGCCCCAUUAACCCAGUCCUGUACCCCUGUCCCUACACACUGUAUAGCCUUCCAACCCGUCCUGCCCUAUAUAUUGUGCCCCCACACCUACUGCACCCCCUAAACCCCAUCUGUAGCUUGCAUGCUCGGCCCUACACGCUGCGCCCCAUAUGCACCCAUCCCUAUAGGUUACACCUUGCACACCCAGCCCUGCUCCCUGCAGCCCCUACACACCAUACCCUACACCCAGCCCUAUGCGUUGUCGCACAGCUGUCCAUGUUGCACCCUACACCCCCCUCCAUGCUUCCUGCACGCUGCACACCCAGCCCUGUGCACCCAGACACUCCUUGCACACCCCGUGCACACACACACACACACGCUCACCCCCACCUUGCACAAGAAGACACCCUCCCUGCACGCACAGCAGAGGGCAGCCCCAUGGGGUGCAUGGGACCUAUAGGGGACUCCCCACCCAGCACCCCUGUGCCGCACCAGUUCUACCAGCGUUGCCUACGGCUGAAGGAACACGUCAGCUCCCACGGCGCCUGGUGCCUCUGCCUCUUCGUGAUGGUCACCGUGAGCUGUGUCAUGGCAGUCCUGCUGUUCUGCUUAACCUACCUGGUGAUCAUUCCCCUGUGGACCGUCAUCAUGGUGCUGAUGUGCGUGUAUCCUUGGCCGGGGGAGGCAGAGCCCUGCCCUGGCACGCAGGCACACGUGCUGCACCACACAGGCGGUCGCAUGCAGGAGCCUAUCCCCCUGCCUACACGUGGCCCCAGGGCCAGCACCACCCACAGGUGCCCACUGCACGGGGGCAUGCAGUGGCCCCCUUGGCCAGCCCACCUGCGUCUGUUUGUCCUUGACUCACUGCUCCAGCAUCAUGAUGACCUUCCUCGCCAGUGUCUGCCUGAGCCUGAUUCAGCCCUGGAUCCCCUCCAUCUCCCAAGCACUGCAUACUUCGUGGUUGCAGGUUGCUACCAUGGCCAAAAUCUGGCACGACAAGCAGGAGUCAAUGGCAGGGCCUGGGGCCAUGGUCGACAGCGAAGACUCUGAAUGAGACUCUCACACCCAGCUCAGGCUGUGAUCCAGCCAGAGAAGCGGACAAUAAAGACCUUCACUCCAAGCUUCUGGUGAUCGAU
ensembl:lncRNA